rnacentral:ncRNA from 1 species
GGUCCACUAUAAACGCGCUCAUAGCGACGUUGCUUUUUGAUCCUUCGAUGUCGGCUCUUCCUAUCAUUGUGAAGCAUAAUUCACUAAGUGUUGGAUUUUUCACCCACUAAUAGGGAAUGUGAGCUAGGUUUAGACCGUCGUGAGACAGGUU